UGCCAGCAGCCGCGGUAAGACAGAGGUGCCAAGCGUUAGGCGGAAUCACUGGGCUUAAAGCGUGUGUAGGCGGGUCGUUAAGUGUCUUGUGAAAUCCCCCGGCUCAACCGGGGAAUGGCUGGGCAUACUGGCGAUCUUGAGCAGUCUAGGGGCAGAUGGAACAGACGGUGGAGCGGUGAAAUGCGUAGAUAUCGUCUGGAACGCCAAAGGUGAAGACAGUCUGCUGGGGACUUGCUGACGCUGAGACACGAAAGCCAGGGGAGCGAACGGGAUUAGAUACCCCGGUAGUCAUGGCCCUAAACGAUGUCGACUAGAUCGCAGGAGCUCUGACGCUUUUGCGGUCGCAGCAAAAGUGCUAAGUCGACCGCCUGGGAAGUACGGUCGCAAGGCUAAAACUCAAAG
rnacentral:rRNA from 1 species